UACGAGGGGGGCGAGCGUUGUUCGGAAUUAUUGGGCGUAAAGGGUGCGUAGGCGGUUCCGCAAGUCCUGUGUGAAAUCUUCGGGCUCAACUCGAAGUCUGCACGGGAAACUGCGGGGCUUGAGUGUGGGAGAGGUGAGUGGAAUUCCCGGUGUAGCGGUGAAAUGCGUAGAUAUCGUCAGGAAUGCCGGUGGUGAAGACGGGUGACUGGGCUGGUUCUGACACUGAGGCACGAAAGCGUGGGGAGCGAACGGG
rnacentral:rRNA from 1 species